CCGGUCGCGGUGCGCGAUCGACUCGGUCAACAUGCGGGCCCUGAAGAGGGGGACCUGACAGGUUCGAAUCCUGUCGACCGGG
rnacentral:tRNA from 1 species